CUUAGCUUCCUCUUCCUUGAUACUCGUAUCUAAUAACAAUCUAACAAUGUCAGUAUUGGAAGCUCCUAUUGUCCCAGUAUCCAAAGCCUUUUGAUGGCUUAAGCAGUCAGCAGCAGCAGAGAGUGUGCGGAAAGUUUAUUAUGUUUCAAUCAAGGUCGGAAAGUGCAAAGGCUUCCCUGAACAACAUUUGAUCAGCGACAUGCUGUCUACAUGAUUUCAUGAAGUGAGGCUGCUUUUUGACAUCUGCGAAUGUGGCUGAUUACAUGGGAUUCAAAUAAGUCGAUAACCUUGAUUGACAACGGCCAUGGUUUGACAGCAUAUUACAGAUGGAAUAUGAUGACUGACAAUUAAUGGGCAUCUGAUAAUGUGAAGGGAACAUUUAUUCAGAUCAUCUACCCUGGACUUAUACCCAUGAUGUCUGUCACUGCAAAAUUGUUCUGAUGGAAGUGUGGCAACCUUUGAUCAGGAUUUAAAUUGAGGCUUAUUUUUCUUGGCAUUUCAGUUCAGAUGCAGAUCCAUGGUACCAAAGAGAAAGAGAGAGUUCAUAGAACAUAGAAGGAGGCGAUGUGGAUAAUUGUUUGUGCAAAUGUUUUUGAAUCAACUGUACAAAUGGUCUCACACCUUCACUCUUUCCCUCUACUCUGUAAUUCCCCUUUGAAAUUUAUAGUUCAGUCUGCUUGAGAUUAAAAUCA